rnacentral:lncRNA from 1 species
GGAUAAAACUAAAACAAAUAAACGUCUAAAAAAAGAGCUUGCUGAGUUUGACAAUGCGAAUCUAAAAGAGGCCGAUGAAACCAGAUUAUUAAUAUGGAAAAACGAGCUUGUGUGGUGUUAUAGACAAAGCUCAGUUUGGCAAGUAUGGUUUGGUUCAUACGGUUCAAGAGCUGUAUGGUCCAGACAUUGCAGGGCUCUUACUUGGAGCUUUUAGUCGGUUAUUCACUUCUUUUCUACAGUUCCAUGGAUUUACAUGUGGAUUAGACGACCUCAUGGUGGCGCCUGAUUGUGACAAAGAAAUGAGGAUGGAACUUGAAGGUGAAGAUGUAGGUGAAAAGGUUCACCGCAAAGUUGUCAACCUGGAGAACCAAAAAAUAG